AUAAAUUUAAAUUAAGUUUAUAAAUUAAUUACUUUAUUUAUAUAUAUAUUAAGUUAAGAAAUUAAAUAUAAAUUUAAAUAAUUUAUAUUAUAAAAAAUUAAUAUAUAAAUUUAAAAAAAUUAAGAAAUUAAUAUUUAGAAAUUUAAGUAAAUAUAAGUUAAUUUUGUGCCAGCAACUGCGGUUAUACAAAAUAUAUAAAUUAAUUAUUUUAUUUAUUAAAUAAAUCAAAUUAAUUAUAUUAUAUAUAAUUAAAUUUUAAGAUAAAAUAAAAUUUUAAUUAAUUAUAAUAUUUAAUAAUUUAUUGAAUUAAAUAGUUAUUAAUAUAAACUAGGAUUAGAUACCCUAUUAUUAAUAAUAAAAUACAAUAUUUAAAUAUUAGAAUUUAUAAUUUGAAAAUUAAUAAUUAUGGCGGUAUUUUAAUCUAUUUAGAGGAACUUGUAAUUUAAUUGAUAAUCCACGAAAGGAUAAAUAUAUAUUUAAUAUAUUUUUGUAUGUUCGUUAUAAAAAAAUUUAUAAAUAAUUUAAAAUUUUUGAAUAUUAUUAAUAUAAUAUAUUUCAGAUCAAUAUAAAAUUAUAAUAUAUAAAAUAUAUGAGUUACAAUAUAAAUUAAUAUAAUAUAAAUAUUAAAUUAUUUAUAUAAAUUAGGAUUUAAUAGUAAAAUAAUUUAAUUAAUUUAUUUGAAUUUAGUUUUAAAAUAUGUACAUAUUGCCCGUCACUUUUAUAUUUAAUAAAAUAAGUCGUAACAAAGUAAAUAUACUGGAAAGUGUAUUUAGAUA
rnacentral:ncRNA from 1 species